rnacentral:lncRNA from 1 species
CACCCAGGUGCCUGGGGGCUCUGCCUUCUGAACCUUGGAACACCCCAAAAGAGACAGUCUCUGAGGGUGAUUACUGCUCUAAAGUUGGACAUUGGAGGAAGAUCCAUUAGGCCGUCAGAAUGGAAACCAGGAAAGGAAAUCGACUGACGCAGGAGCCAGAGUGAGACCGACGAGCCUGCAAACCCAGCCCGCACCAUGAACUUGUGUCUUCCUUCUCCGUUUUAAGAGCCAAGGGCA